UUCAAAACUGAAUCUUUUUACUUAUCUUGGUUUGGGUUGUUGAGAGUCGAAGGGUGGGGAGAGUAUCUUUUUCGUUUCUGGGGCUGCAUGUCUGAUCGGGAAAGUCGGCGGCACAAGGCGGCAGCGACCGGUGGCUGGAUGAUGGCGAGACAGACCGGACGACGGUGGCGGCGUGAGGCGGCAGACGCCAGAGCAGCAGGGGCAGCAGUCUUUCUUGAGCUGCUGUUUCCGCUGAGAGCGUGAGAGGAAGAGAGAUAAUAGGAUCCGAGGAAGACGAACGGGGCGGGGCGGCGCGGCCGAAGGCCAAGCGCCGCCGGUCACAGCAGAGGGGGAGAACGGCAGUGGCGGCGGCCCUCCAUGGCCGCUCGUCGACUGAUAUGUGCGAAAGAGGGAGAGGGGCAGACCGGCGAAGGAAUGAGAGCAUUCCCGGGUGAUUCCGGCGACAAUUUUCGCCGGGAGAAGGAGCGGCAGCGGCGGCAUGUUAGAGAGGGAGGUGGGCGCGCAGUGAGAGAACAUGGAGGGAGAGCCGAUAGCUUGAAGAGAGAGAGAGAGUAGUUUCUUUUCUAACUUUAAUUUACGUCUAAAAUGUUUAGUUUAGGGUUUUAGUAAUUCAUUUGGGCUUCCUUUAAUUAGUUGGGCUUUUAUAUUUUUAUGGGCCGAAAAUUUGAUUUAUUUGGGCAAGAUGGGCUUCAAUUAUUCAUAGUAUGCUUCCUUUAAUUAGUUGGGCUUUUAUAUUUUUAUGGGCCGAAAUUUGAUUUAUUUGGGUAAGAUGGGCUUCAAUUAUUCAUAGUAUAUUGGACCAUUUUUUUAAACAAGCCUAUUAAUUAUAAAUUGCUUAUUAUUUUAUAAGUUUGGAUUUACUAUUAAAUUAUUAAUUAUUUUGGGGAUUUGUAUUAUUGUUAUUAUUAUUAGAAAUGUUUAUUAUCUUAAUCUGGGCAAAGUGUAUCGAUAGUUAGUAUUUCCUGUUACCUAGAAAUUAGAAUGAAACCUUGGGAUCUAUUUAAGAAUAGAUUUCUUGUAGGUUUGAGUGACCAAGGACAGUGAAGUCUCAAAGCNCCAGAACUCGGCUAACAUACUAUCAAAAGAAAAGACAUCUUUAACCUCAUCCUCGUUCAACCAUCAUCUCUAUACAUCUUUCAUCUCUAUACAUCUUUAUUUCCUCAAAGUAUUUCAUUCACUAGUUCUUCAUUGAAAACAUAAUAGUUCAACCAUUAGAAAUCUCAUCUCAUCAAUAGCUUAUUUUUAUAUCUCAGUACUCUUAAAACACAAGGUACUUAUAAUAAGGAAAAAAAAAUGCGGGGUGUUACAAUCAUACACAAGUCCAACAACAUGAACAGUAAACCCUAGCUACAAUAUUAAUUCGAAGGCGACAACACUGACAAAGCAUACCACAAAUAUUGUAUUCAAGAAUGCGACAACUCAUUCUAAAUAAUACAACUUGUAUUGCAAAUAAGAGACAAAGCAUACCACAAAAGUUUUAAAGAAUCAAACAAGGAGUACCUUUUCACCAUUUUUUAGACCUUGGGACCACUUGGUCACAAGUUUACUGACUUGUGCUUCGAAAUGGCAAUAAACAAAUCAAACACCUGCGAAACCCUUUCUGUUUCAACAAAACAAACCUUUAAUUUUGCUAUGAAAUUGAAGAACGGGCUUUGUCAGUAAUCUGGGAAUCUAAAGAUUAAGACAAAUGAAAAGGUGGAAAUGAAAAAGUGGAAGUGAAAAGCUGGAAAACGAAGAGAGGAAGAGAAUGGAGGGUUUGGCGCGCCUUUUCUUCUGCAGAAACGACGUCGUUUCAACUUCCGCAUAGUUGGACGCCACCUAUACGCCACCUGGCCGCCAGUUUGCUUAAAUGUAGACACGUAUGCAGAAUUCCUAUUUUGCCCUUGCCGGAAUUUGAACGGAAUACCUAAAUCAGAUUAAAUUGUAAGAUUGGUAUUUUGUAUUACAGACAUUGAAGUAUAGUACCCAAACCAGAAUUUGGGUAUAGUUAAGUAAUUUAGCCGUCAUUAACCCUUUAAUUUUCUUUUGAACUCCUGCAGGGAGACAAAGAAAGCCAACAGAGCAUUCAAAGAAGGUUUCAUCCAUCAACCUUCAUAUUUUAUUUCUUGUAAACAAGAAAAGACAUAUAGAAUCUCCUAUCUUCUUGCAGAAAUCUGCACACACUCAGGACCCACAUCUCCAACCUCACCAACUUUUAAGGUUCGAUUUAAUUACCUUGAAUUCUUUUUAUUCUUAUGCAUAAGAAACCACAGCAAGAACUAGACCGCAACAAGAAAUAGAGAACUUCCAAAACUUAGUACUCACAGUAGCAUAAAUUUCUUUAAAUCCAAUCUGCAGAUUCCUAGUCUAAAAUCUCUUGUCAUAAUCGGACCUUUUCACCUCAUUAAUCAAGAACAAACCACAAGAACAAGCAUACACACACAACGACUCAUGCUUCUAAUAAAAUCAGAAAAACACUCAAAGAUUUGAUUGUUAUUUCAAAACUGAAUCUUUUUACUUAUCUUGGUUUGGGUUGUUGAGAGUCGAAGGGUGGGGAGAGUAUCUUUUUCGUUUCUGGGGCUGCAUGUCUGAUCGGGAAAGUCGGCGGCACAAGGCGGCAGCGACCGGUGGCUGGAUGAUGGCGAGACAGACCGGACGACGGUGGCGGCGUGAGGCGGCAGACGCCAGAGCAGCAGGGGCAGCAGUCUUUCUUGAGCUGCUGUUUCCGCUGAGAGCGUGAGAGGAAGAGAGAUAAUAGGAUCCGAGGAAGACGAACGGGGCGGGGCGGCGCGGCCGAAGGCCAAGCGCCGCCGGUCACAGCAGAGGGGGAGAACGGCAGUGGCGGCGGCCCUCCAUGGCCGCUCGUCGACUGAUAUGUGCGAAAGAGGGAGAGGGGCAGACCGGCGAAGGAAUGAGAGCAUUCCCGGGGUGAUUCCGGCGACAAUUUUCGCCGGGAGAAGGAGCGGCAGCGGCGGCAUGUUAGAGAGGGAGGUGGGCGGCGCAGUGAGAGAACAUGGAGGGAGAGCCGAUAGCUUUGAAGAGAGAGAGAGAGAGUUUCUUUUUCUAACUUUA
rnacentral:lncRNA from 1 species